AGUCAAUGGGCCCUCAUGAUCUCACACGAGGUCAACCGCUGUUAAGUAGCUUAUCGGCCAACAGCUCUGCAGUCGACUGAGGAGGAGAACCAGAGGAGAAAGACAGCAGGGCUCAGGACUUGUGGAAACGAGCGUGCGCCUCCAUGGCAAGAACACCCCUUUUUAAGUUUCGAUCUGGCACAAGAAGGCCAAGACAGCAGAGGUCCGGGUCUCGAGGGCCGCAGUCUCAGUAGGGAACUCCAGACUUCUCGGUCCCUGGCCACCACUUCCAAUUCCACCGGGACGACACCGAGGUGUUCCCAGGCCAGCUAUGAGACAUAAUCCCUCAGGCGUGUCCUUGGUCUGCCCCCGGCUCUUCCCGGAUGGGCAUGCCCGGGACACCCAGAAGACCAAGUUCCUCACCCUAUCUCUUUAGGUGAGUCAACAGUCCGGUACAGUGACCACAUUUUGCAGAUGCUGUACCGACCCGCCCGUUAAUUUCAUGCUCCAGCCUUCCCUCGCUCGUGAACAAGACCCCAAGAUACUUGAACUUCUCCAGCUGGGACAAGAUCUCACUCGCAACCCCAAGGGUGCAAGCCACCCUUUACCGACUGAGAACCAUAGCUUCAGAUUUGGAGGUGCUGAGUCUCAUCCCAGAAGAUUCACACUCAGCUGCUAAUUUCCCCAGUAAAUGCUGAAGGUCACAUCAGGACCACAUCAUCUGCAAAUAGCAGGGAUGAGAUCCUAAGGCCCCCA